AAUGGCCACUAGGGGGCGUCAGUGUCCUGUAAAACCCUUUCUCGCGCUUCCAUAUCGAAAUGAAUUCACAUCAGGUUGAAUUUUUUUUUUAAAGCCAUACUUUUAUUAUGCAACUAAGUAUGUAAGAAACAUCUGAGUUUAAUGAUAUUUAGUUUAAAUAACCAAAAUUAAUUUUAACACAUGCAUUAAAAUAAUGCUUAAAUACUAAGUGCUACGCGAGGGGUGGAUGGACAUCAGUUUUAAUGCUGAAAUAUGAGCAAUCGGAACUAAAGGCGGAUAAAUAAGGCCAAGCCAAGAGGGAUUGUCUUUACACGUGGAGAGGAGCUCAAAAAAUUAGUUGCACGGACUCAACACUUGGGAUAGAAGUAGUAAUUAUUUGUGCAAUAUACGCCGGAGAGAUUCAACACAAAACAAACGAGGGACAUAAUGAGAGUGCUACAUGUCUACCACAAUUCCUGGACUUUAUGGACCGUGUUCAUGUGUGUAACGAGUGGAGUUCAUUCACAAGAAAGACUGUAAGUAUACUAUGUUUUGGAGGUGGCCGAAGAAGAUCGAGAAUGUCCUACAGGAGAAGAACCAGAACAGGAACUUAUACUCAUUCCUGCAGGUGGGGAGGAGCCAGGUUCUGGAGCUGAGGUGUCCUACUAUUCUUACAAGUAUUCCCCAGAGAGUGAGGGAAAAAAAAAGUGUCUAUAGAAGAAGAAGAGGUGGCAGACACCACACAGCUUCUGGGUGGACAUAUCCUCACAGUGGACACAAAGGACUCACUUGAGCGAUGAGACCCCUGGCUGCCAGCAAAUGCAGGAGCUCCACAUUUUACAUUCUCUGCGAAUAUGUUUGUGUAUAAGAAGGGCUGGGAAAAAUAGGGAUACCCGGUCAGUUGUGAUGAGAUGACAGCUCUGAGUGUGUAUGGAAAGAGAGAUAAUAUCAGUUCUUCUUUCUUUUAUUUUUUAAAAUUCAUUUCCAUAGCAGACACUGACUAUGCAUCCAUGCUAAAUGAAAAUUGGCUCGUAUGAAAUCUGCACUUUUAAACAGAAUGUCUCUAAUGCGACUAUUUAAGUUCACGGAGUAAUUUGGUUUAAUUAAAUGUUAAGUUACCAAUAAGUCCCAUUUAACAUACUUUUACUCUAUUUAAAUUCCCCUAAAAUCAAUGCAGAUUUGCCAAAUGGCCUAUGUCAUUUGGAAAAUCACUUAAAAUUAACCAUCAAUAUCACAUUUAUUAAAAAAAAAAUUAAGUCAGUGUGAAUAAACUAUUGCUAUGCUUGAAUUGCAAUUUGCAUUCUGUUUGUUCUAUAUAAUAUGCAAAAUUAGUAUAAGGGCAUACCAAAUAUAUACUAAAAAUACCAUAUGUAUAUUUUGAGUGGAAAUUUCUAAGUAUUUUAGGACACAUUGCUCACAAUCAGUAAUACUGGAGAAUUUGGUAUGUGAUUAUUCUCCAAUGUGUAAAGACCGUAUACCACAACCGUAAAAAGUAUAUACUAUGCAAACGCUUAGCAUAUGCAUACAAUAAGUAGUAUUUCAAAGUGCUCUUAAUCUCCCAAUUCUAUCUAUUUUUCGCACAAUUGCAAGUUAUAAAAUUCUGAUUUUACAUCUCACAGGUUAUGCUCACCCUAAUGUAUGCAUGAAAACCCUUAAUAUACUUUGGGCUUUAUUAUUGCAGAGCAGUCUUAUGUAUUCACAAUACUACUGUAUAUACAGUAUUAAAAGUACAUACACUUAUGCUAAAGUUGCUUUCAAACAGUUUUGAGAGAAUCUAUUGUUCCUGGUUAACUGCUUGAGCUACUUCAAAGCUCUCUGACACUUGUUUGAAGGUCCAGGCAGAACAUUGACCCCAUGUAUUUCUGUCCACUGGGUCAGCUUGUGAGACUUCAGCUCCAGUUACCUUAGGAUUGUUAAUGUUUGAUGUUUAUUUGAUGGUCAGUGAAGUGGUGAACAUGUUCACCUAUCAUGCCUCCAUUCAUUUUAAUAGCUCUCCCAGAGUUUCUUACAAUGCAUAUCAGAUGGGAAUAUUGUGCAUACUCACUUACAUGUCCUUCAGAAGUUCCCAUCUUCUCAAAUGUCGAGGGCCUUUUCUAUGCUGGUUUGCAGGGAGGGGUCCCAGCUGCUGGUCUCCUUAGUGACCCAUGCUUGAUGGUCCAUCUCUGCUCAGCUGAACAGAGUAAAGACAUGAAAGAGAAAGGGAAGCGAGAGGAGGAAUUCUCUGAUGGAUAUAAUGUUACAUGACAAUGAAGUGAUGAAAACUUUUGUGCUUCUGUCUCUCAAACACAUUUGUAAUAUUUAGAGGACAUCUUAUUUAGUUCAGCUAGGAAGAAGGUCCUACUAACCAUCGCUUCAGCUUUGUACAUGGAUGUUUUGAAGAUCUACCCAUACUCGUGGUUUUGCAAAGUAGCUGCUUGCGUUUUUAAAUUUCCUGAAACUGAUUUUGCAGGAAACAUUCUGUAGAUUUCUAGAAUGGUUAUACCUCCAGUCCCAAAUGCAAUCUUGACUUGAACUGUGUUUGAAGGAAGUAUCAGCAUGUGUGGAAUCAAACUGGUCCUCAAACAUUUGUGGGCUGAUGUUAUGGCAGUAUCAGAGAAGAUAACCAAAUGCACUGUCAGUCCUCCACUCCAGGAAAAACCAUCAGGCCACUGGGAUGAGCUCACAUUCCUGCUGGGCUGCAUCUAGAGGGUGUGGAUCUUCUCAACAGCUGCCUGCCAAAAACUGCAUCACUGCAUAUUUCUGAUAACAAGUAGGGAAGUGCAUAUGUUGUGUGUGCAUGACUGCAUUAUGACGGCUGUGUUUUCCAGUCUUGUUUACAGGGCCUGGUCAAUACAUCCUUCCAAUGACUAUUGGCUUUGUAGGCCAUGAUUUCACCAGUCAACAAUUCCUACUCCCUCCAUGGCAGGAUGACUAACAACAGUGAGUUUAUAUGUACUUACAGUGAAAUAAGAGAACUCCGUAGGAAAUAACGCAAAUAUAACAGCUGGAGUCUUUCUAGCUCAUUUUAUGCCAGGAAUGUACAAAUCAGCAAUGAUGACAUUUUCACUAAAAUCAUUGAUGAAGUUGUAUUUUGCUAAUGUCAGCAGUAGAGGGAGACAGACUGCUGGAAAUAUCCAUUGUUGAACAUUUCUGUAUUGAUAGGCUAGUAGAUCAGAAGUUAUAUAUGUAUUAAUAUUAUUUUCAUGUUACUUUACAGAAAAGGAUACAACUACGCUUAAUUUUGCCCCUAAGGAUUUUUUUUUUUAGCAUUAAAAUAUUUCUAAUAUUGCUUUUUUAUUAUUAUUCAUACUAAACCAUUUACUUGUUUAUUAACAAGUAUAAACAAUAUCAACAAGUAUAGUGAUAUAGUAUAUCGGUUUCUUUCCGGAGUGAUAUAAUGCUUUGACUGUACAGUGCAUAGCAUUGACCGUAGUCCAGGGCCUAAAUAUCCUAUUGAUGCCAAACUGACUCGCUUUGGAAGAGAGAGCAGCCCUGUCUACUCCAUACAUGGCAGGAUGGAAAGUCAAGAUAAAUCGGUUAUUUUGAAGUGGCACUGU